GUUGUAAGGUUGUGAUUAACUCCUAGCUACUCUGGAUCUAAGCUACCUUCAUCGUUGGAGAUGGUUUUGAUGGACUCCAAGGUUUCAUUUUUACCCUAUAUUCCUCAAUGUUUAUGGGUUUAUGUUUUGAGAAUCUUUUUUUAACGUCCUUUUUUGUUUUUAUUUAGGGCUGCAAAAUACAUGCUUCAAUCCGGUGUACUUUAGUCUACCGAUUCAAGAAUCAGUUGCUUGAGGGCCGUGUAUACCAGAUAUCAUUUUUUGGUGUUUGUGAGAACGGCGGUGAUUUCAGGACGACCUCUCAUCCAUACAAGGUUAAUUUUCAAAUGCAUACCAGUGUUAGGCUUAUGGCUAACACCCCCAUCACUGGAAAAUCUUUUACCUUCAUGCCUCUAUCUGAUGUUGUCUUCAAGGAUCCUGACACAUCCUUCCUCAUAGAUGUCAUAGGUAUCUUGACUGGCUCCUCUGGUGAGCAGGAGUUUGAGAAGCAUGGUAAAGUGCAAAAGAGGAUCACACUAGAAAUUGAACAGGAAGGGUAUGUGUAAAUCUGUACCAUAAUUUUGAUUCAAUUAUCUUAUGUGGUGUUUAUUGAUUUGGUUUUUUCUCUUUUGCUUAGAGUUCGUGUCGAGGCAGCUUUUUUUGGAAAAUAUGUAGAUGAAAUUGUUGGGCAAUUGGCUUCUGGGGAUAUGACGAACGCUGUAGUUGUUGUCCAAUUUGCGAAGAUAAAACCUUUUAAAGGUUUUUUUUUUGUUUUUCGUUUGUUUGUUCUUUUGUAAAUCAUUCUCCUUAAUUAAAUUCGUAUGGCGUCCUUAGAUUCUAACUUCCUUUUUUUUUUAAUUCACAGGGAGGCCUAGCAUUCAAAACGUGUAUGGGGCAACCCAAAUUCUUUUUAAUCCUGCUAUUGAUGAAGCUAGUCCAAUUCGAGAAAGGUUUUUUGAGGCUAAUGGCCCUGCUGCUAAGGUCAUUUGCCAGCUUCAGGAUUCGGCAAAACUAUCUCCAGCAGAGGAUUUUCUAAAACAAAAUGAAGGGAAAACCAUUGAGCAGAUUAAAGAUUUGGCUAAGGUUUGUUUAUUUUAUUUUGUUUUUUAUUUGUUGGUUUGGUGUUGAUUUAUAGUGUUUUUUUCAUUUCCCUGACUUUUUAUAAUUUCUUAUCGUCAGAAAUCUGUUUGUGUUGUGUUUGCCACUGUUAAAUUCAUUCUUGAUGACAAUAGUUGGUAUUACCCUGCUUGCAAGUGUAACAAAAAGGUGUACCCAGCUGAGGACAUGUACUUUUGUGAAGCCUGUGUUCGCCAUGUUGUUACUGCAAUUCCUAAAUACAAAAUUCGUUUGAGGGUUAUGGAUGCUAAAGAUUCGACAACCUUUGUUUUAUUUGAUCAAGAGGCCAACAACCUUCUUAAUAAGCCAUGUUCUGAAUUGGUUGAAAAAUGCCAUAAGGACCCUAGCGAUUCUCAGGUUCCGUCGGAGAUUAUGAGUUUGAUUGAUAAGUCAUUUUUAUUCAAGAUUGAAGUUGACAACAGUUCCAACACAUGGUUUUAGCCAUCUUAUAAGGUGAAGAGAAUUUGUUCUGAUCCUGAAGUCAUUUCCCAGUUUAAGAACGCAAAUCCCCACUUAGAAAGCUCUCCUCCCUAUAUGUUUUUAACAACUCCUAGCUCAGGGAGUGUUG